rnacentral:rRNA from 1 species
GGCAGCAGUCGAGAAUUUUUCUCAAUGGGGGCAACCCUGAAGGAGCGACGCCGCGUGGAGGAUGAAGGCUUUCGGGUUGUAAACUCCUGUCAUUUGAGAACAAGUGUAGCCAAGUAACUACUGGCUACUUGAUAGUAUCAGAAGAGGAAGAGACGGCUAACUCUGUGCCAGCAGCCGCGGUAAUACAGAGGUCUCAAGCGUUGUUCGGAUUCAUUGGGCGUAAAGGGUGCGUAGGCGGCGUGGAAAGUUGAUUGUGAAAUCCCGGGGCUCAACCUCGGAACUGCACUCAAUACUUCCAUGCUAGAGGAAUGUAGAGGAGAGUGGAAUUCACGGUGUAGCAGUGAAAUGCGUAGAUAUCGUGAGGAAGACCAGUUGCGAAGGCGACUCUCUGGGCAUUUCCUGACGCUGAGGCACGAAGGCCAGGGGAGCAAAC